UACGGAGGGUGCGAGCGUUGUCCGGAAUCACUGGGCGUAAAGGGCGCGUAGGCGGCCUGAUAAGUAGGGGGUGAAAUCCUGCGGCUCAACCGCAAGCGGUCGUGGGAAACUGGGUGGCUAGAGUGCGGGAGAGGAGAGUGGAAUUCCUGGUGUAGCGGUGGAAUGCGCAGAUAUCAGGAAGAACACCCGUGGCGAAGGCGGCUCUCUGGAACGCAACUGACGCUGAGACGCGAAAGCGUGGGGAGCAAACAGG
rnacentral:rRNA from 1 species